rnacentral:rRNA from 1 species
UGUAGUAUUUAAAUUUGAAUAUUAAGUAAUUUUAGAUUCAGUAAUUUUAUAAGUAGGGGUUAAUGUCGUGCCAGCUACCGCGGUUAUACGUUGUUUGCAUAGUUAAUUUUUUUGGUAACAAUUGUUUUUUUUUGGGGGGAAAGGAUUAGUUUUAAUGUAUGGUGGAAUAAUUAUUAUUGGUUUUACUUUUCUUAAUUAUUUUUUGUAAUAGCUUUGGUUUAAACUGGGAUUAGAUACCCCAUUAUUUUAGAUUAAUAUUAUUGCCAGGGUAGUAUUAGUGUAUUAUAUGAAAUCUAAAGAAUUUGGCGGCAUUUUAUCUUUAUAGGGGAACCUGUUCUGUUAAUGAUGAUACACGAUUGGCUUUACUAAUGUUAAGGUUUGUAUACUUCCGUUAUAAGGGUAUUUAAUGAUAAUAUACUCAAAUUUUUUUAUAAAAUUUUAUUUCAGGUCAAGGUGCAGCUUAUAUUUUAGUAUGAAAUGGGUUACAAUGUAAUUAUAUAUAUAUGGAUAUUUUUUUUAAAUUUAAAGUUGAAGGUGGAUUUAUAAGUAAGUUUUUAUAAUUAUAAGUUCUGAAUUAGUUCUAAUUUGUGUACAUAUCGCCCGUCAUUCUCAUAUUUUGAGACAAGUCGUAACAUAGUAGGUUUACUGGAAAGUGAGUCUGGUUU